rnacentral:rRNA from 1 species
AACCAGACUCCUACGGGAGGCAGCAGUCGAGAAUCAUUCACAAUGGGGGAAACCCUGAUGCAGCGACGCCGCGUGAGUGAAGAAGUAUUUCGGUAUGUAAAGCCCUAUCGGCAGGGAAGAAAUUGGACGGUACCUGACUAAGAAGCCCUGGCUAACUACGUGCCAGCAGCCGCGGUAAUACGUAGGGGGCAAGCGUUAUCCGGAUUCACUGGGUGUAAAGGGAGCGUAGACGGCCAUGCAAGCCUGGAGUGAAAGCCCGGGGCCCAACCCCGGGGCUGCUCUGGGAACUGUGCGGCUGGAGUGCGGGAGGGGCAGGCGGAAUUCCUGGUGUAGCGGUGAAAUGCGUAGAUAUCAGGAGGAACACCGGCGGCGAAGGCGGCCUGCUGGACCGCGACUGACGUUGAGGCUCGAAAGCGUGGGGAGCAAACAGGAUUAGAUACCCGAGUA